GCCGGGCGUGGUGGCGUGCGCCUGUAGUCCCAGCUACUUGGGAGGCUGAGGCAGGAGAAUGGCGUGAACCUGGGAGGCGGAGGUUGCGAUGAGCCAAGAUCGCACUGCUGCACUCCAGCCUGGCGAAAGAACAAGACUCUGUUCACAAAAAAAAAAAAAAAAAAAAAAAAAAGAAAAGAAAAAUAAUGAAGAACACUUUUCCUUUUUUUUUUUUUUUUUUUUUUUUUUGAGACACCCAGGCUGGAGUGCAGUGGUGUGAUCUCGGCUCACUGCAAGCUCCGCCUCCCGGGUUCACGCCAUUCUCCUGCCUCAG
rnacentral:SRP_RNA from 1 species